rnacentral:rRNA from 1 species
UACGUAGGGGGCAAGCGUUAUCCGGAAUCACUGGGUGUAAAGGGUGCGUAGGCGGCGCGGUAAGUCGGGUGUGAAAUCUCGGAGCUUAACUCCGAAACUGCAUUCGAUACUGCCGUGCUUGAGGACUGGAGAGGAGACUGGAAUUUACGGUGUAGCGGUGAAAUGCGUAGAUAUCGUAAGGAAGACCAGUGGCGAAGGCGGGUCUCUGGACAGUUCCUGACGCUGAGGCACGAAGGCCAGGGGAGCAAACGGG